UACGGAGGGUGCAAGCGUUGUCCGGAAUCACUGGGCGUAAAGGGCGCGUAGGCGGCUCAUGAAGGCUGUGGUGAAAGUCCGGGGCUCAACCUCGGAUCGGCCGUGGCGACUCGUGGGCUGGAGCACUGUAGAGGCGGGUGGAAUUCCGGGUGUAGCGGUGGAAUGCGUAGAGAUCCGGAAGAACACCAGUGGCGAAGGCGGCCCGCUGGGCAGUGGCUGACGCCGAGGCGCGACAGCGUGGGGAGCAAACAGG
rnacentral:rRNA from 1 species